GCCCGGGUGGUGGAAUUGGUAGACACAGGGGACUUAAAAUCCCCAGGCUCCUAGAGCUUUGCGGGUUCGACUCCCGCCCCGGGCA
rnacentral:tRNA from 1 species